AGAGUUUGAUCAUGGCUCAGGAUGAACGCUGGCGGCGUGCUUAACACAUGCAAGUCGAACGGGGGCGUGAUGUGCGAGAGGGAUAGUUUACUAGACUUCAAACUUUUCACGCCCUAGUGGCGGACGGGUGAGUAACGCGUGGGUAACCUGCCAUAUACAGGGGGAUAACACUUAGAAAUAGGUGCUAAUACCGCAUAAGCGCACAGGGGCGCAUGCCCCGGUGCGAAAAACUCCGGUGGUAUAUGAUGGACCCGCGUCUGAUUAGCCAGUUGGCAGGGUAACGGCCUACCAAAGCGACGAUCAGUAGCCGGCCUGAGAGGGCGGACGGCCACAUUGGGACUGAGACACGGCCCAAACUCCUACGGGAGGCAGCAGUGGGGGAUAUUGCACAAUGGGGGAAACCCUGAUGCAGCGACGCCGCGUGAGUGAAGAAGUAUUUCGGUAUGUAAAGCUCUAUCAGCAGGGAAGAAAAUGACAGUACCUGACCAAGAAGCCCCGGCUAACUACGUGCCAGCAGCCGCGGUAAUACGUAGGGGGCAAGCGUUAUCCGGAUUUACUGGGUGUAAAGGGAGCGU
rnacentral:rRNA from 1 species